rnacentral:lncRNA from 1 species
GAGCCUACCUAACACCACCACCCCCCUCCCCCACCCCGCCAGAUGCUAGGCCGGGGGUCAGGAUUCCUUCACUGCUGCUGACCCCUGCCCUGCCACAGGGUGUACCCUUGUCAUCACAGGUGUGCCCAGGGGCUUGGGCAGUGGCUCGGGCAGUUGUCGUAAUCUUCCCUAACAACUGUAACAAGGGAGACACGUGAGACAACCUGGCCUAGGUGAGAGGGAAGAGGAGUGAGGGCUGAGUUGUAGUUAUUCAGAAGUCUUCUCUCAGAUGUGUCUCACCAUCCAAGAGACCAAAACAGCUGUUGGGGUUUCAGAGGAGCCUCAAACUCUUGGGUUCAAGCAGUCCUCUCACAUCAGCCUCCCAAGUAUCUGAGACUAAGGUGUGCACCACCACACUUGGCUAAUUUUUUGUGUAAUUUUUAUAAAGACAGGGUCUCACUAUGUUGCCCAGACUGGUCUGGAACUCCUGGGCUAAAAUGAUCUUCCUGCCUAGGCCUCCCAAAGUGCUGAGAUUACAGGCAUGAGCCACUGCACCCAGCCCUGGGAAGGGUAUCUUGCCCACAGCUGCAGUCAUGGGUUUGGAGCCCAGGGCAUUCAUUUUGACCCCAAACUGAAAAGGGGUAACUUUUCCCAGCCCCACAAACCUCAAACCUCACUCACUGCAGCAUGAUUAGAGGACCCCUCUUCUCCUUUCCCUUGGCAUCAGGGUAAGACAGGUGGGAAGUGUGUAUGGGGCAGGCUGUGUGGCCCCUGCAGGGUGGAGGUGCUAUGGGUGUGUGAUACUGUGAAAUAGAUAUUUGGUCUUCACCCCGUUUCCUGGCAUAACUCUUAAAAUCCUUAGAAUCUCCAAAGUGAUGUCCUUUAAUAUAUGAUUGACUGAUAGCUGGCAGCCCCUAUGUAGCUGCUGGAUGGGGGCUGGUCACCAAAGCAGAAUUAAAGGGUUGGGACUUUCAGGCUCAGCCCCCAACCUCCAGGGAGGGAAGAGGGACUGAAGGUUAAGUUGAUCACCACUGUCCAAUGGUUUAAUCAACCGUGCCUAUGUAAGGAAGCUUCUCUAAGAACCCAAAAGGGCAGGGUUUGGUGAGCUUCCAGAGAGCUGAACAUGUAGGCUUACAGGAAGCCAAACGAGUGC